CACAGCCAAGUCAGUUCAGCCCCGUCCCCCAGAGCCGGGCUGGCCACAUGGCUGCCACAACAAGGGCCACCAUUCAGUGGCCCUGGGUCCCCUGCCCUGGGCCCUGCAGGGGCUGUGGGUAGUAAGCU
rnacentral:snoRNA from 1 species